AUGGAGUCUGGCCCAAGCCUGGGCGCCACAGGAGGUACAGGAGGGAGGGGAAGACCUAGGGUGGGGGCAUGGCAAGGGGCAGAGCCAUGGGGGUGGGCCCCCCGCUGGGCCCAGGCUGGGACUCACUUCCCCCGCCCUGACCAGGCCCAGCCGCUCAGGCCCAAGCCUCCUGUCCCUGCCAAGCCUGUGCUGCCGACCGAGGUUUACGCCAGUCCGGAGCCUCGCCCCCGCCCAGCUCUGCCGCCCAGGCCUGUGCCCCCCAUCUACCAGGAGCCAGAGGAGCCCAUCGCCUUCUAUGCCAUGGGCCGGGGCUGCCCUGCCGAGGCGUCUGGCCACGUCUAUGCCGAGCUGGAUGGGCUGGAUGGGCCAGAGGUGGGUGACCAGAACCCAGGCAGUCUGCAACUGUAUCCUGAGAACCCUGUGCUGGGACAAGGCCCCCCACUUCCCCAGCAACCUCCACCUGGCUGGAGGCACACCCUGCCCCCCAACCUUUCCAGACAAGUGCUUCAAGACAGAGGCCUGGCCUGGCUUCCCCUUGGGCCUUCUCAGACCGUGUUACCAGCUCAUUCUGAGAGUCCCUGAGAAUCGCUGCCAGCGACCCUCUAAGAUGGUGAGACGUGUGCAAGGAGGCACUGCCCUAGUUUCUCCUCCUGGAGUCUAAUUUCCUCAGUCCUCUGGGCCUUGGAGUCUGGGCCCUGGUCCAAUGCUGCUGUUGUCUGAGGAGUGGUUUGGUGAGAACAGAUGUUAGAACUUGUUUGUUGAUUCUUGUCUGGCUAAUAAAUCUUCACCAACA
rnacentral:lncRNA from 1 species